rnacentral:lncRNA from 1 species
UCCCUUCUCUCUACUUUCUCUCUCUAAAAUUCUUCGAUCUUUUGCAUGUUUUCAUGGUAUCAGAGCCUGUAUAAUGAUCCGAUGAUACUUUUGUGUGAAUCAGUAGUUCAUUUGAACCAUUCUCUGAUGAGAUUUUUGGGGUUUUCUGAGAUCGAAAGGUCGGUGAUGGUUUUGACUCCCAUUAGGGUUCUUCCGAGCCUUAAUCUUCACGAUAUGUGACUGUUCUACGUCUCUUGAACGGUUCAAUCGACUGUUGUGAAAUCUUCGGAGAUUUUUCGGUGAGUUUUCAACCUCUAGGGUUUCUGGUGGUCAAAUCGGUCGUUUGA